rnacentral:rRNA from 1 species
UAAUACAGAGACCUCAAGCGUUAUCCGGAAUCAUUGGGCGUAAAGCGUACCGAUAGGUGGUUUUACAAGUCAGAAGUGAAAUCUCUCAGCUUAACUGGGAGACUGUCUUUUGAAACUGUAAAACUAGAGGGGCAAAGAGGAAGCUGGAACAAGCGGUGUAGUAGUGAAAUGCGUUGAUAUCGCUUGGAACACCAAUAGCGUAGGCAGGCUUCUGGGUGCCACCUGACACUGCUAGGACGAAAGCGUGGGGAGCGAAUGGGAUUAGAUACCCCAGUAGUCCACGCUGUAAACGAUGAUGAUUAGGUGCUAGGGAGUAUCGACCCUUCUUAGUACCAUAGCUAACGCGUUAAAUCAUCCGCCUGGGGAGUACGGCCGCAAGGCUA